rnacentral:RNase_P_RNA from 1 species
GAGGACGGCCAAGUAGGCCACCAGCUUAUUGGUUUCCUCACCCACGAGACCGCAGGCCUGAAAAUCGGUCAGGAGUCGGUCGAUCAGGUUGGGUGCCUCCAGCAGCGACAGCGCCUCCUUGUGCUCUUUGUUGCUGGUAAGGGUGAAAUGGUGCGGUAAGAGCGCACCGCAUCGCUGGUAACAGCGAUGGCAGGGUAAACCCCACCCGGAGCAAGACCAAAUAGAGGGACAUGUAUACCUUCGGGUAUAUGAAAGUGCGGCCCGCACUGUUCCUGGGUAGGUUGCAUGAGGUGUGCGGUGACGCACAUCCCAGAUGAAUGGCUGUCCUUGACAGAACCCGGCUUAUAGGCCGGCUCCCACC